UGCAGGUGAAGUCUGGUAGACUGGAUACGAUGAAGGUCACCAAUGAAAGGUAGAGCCCAGGGUCCAGGAGGAAAGUUUUUUGGCACUCUGUUCUUCAGAAAAUCUGUCACCAGUAGAAAAACAGUCAAAAAUAUUAAAAUACUCCUGCCAUCUAUCCACUCCAAGCCGAGAAGAUUGUAUAUCGACUCCAUAUUUUCUACUCAACUCUCCUGCUACAAGUGAACAGCAGACAACAUGUCAAGGUUCAACUUUUCAUGGUCAACUCUAAACAUAUAAGGACAUGUUUGCUCUUCUGUGACAACAGCCUGUCUGUAAUCGGUUCCAGCUGUGUUGCCACCUGUUCCUCGUUCCCUCAUGUUCCUGCCAUUGAGGAUGUCCACAAGAAGAGAUGUCUACGCCGAGCACGCUUCAUUCUCAGGGACUCCUCUCAUCCUGCCAAUAAACUCUUCCAGCUCCUCCCCUCCGGAAGACUCUACAGGACCCUACAGACUAAAACCAGCAGGUUUAGGAACAGCUACUUCCCCACAGCUGUCACCCUACUGAACUCAGUUCCCUGCUGAACCUUUCCAUCCACACUCAUUCUCCAUCCAUAACCCCUUAUCCCUCUCAGGGACCAUGACCAUGACUCGCAUUCAUUUGUAACAUUCACCAUAUGCUCAUAUUGGUUAAUGCUAUAGUUUAGGACACUGACAAAGUAUGCUCUCUGGUAUAGUGCGUACACUGUUAGCUAUUAUAGUCUGCUCACAGCGCUACACUCCCACUGCUGUGGAUAUACUCAUAGGACUCUGUAAAUCUGUUUACCUUACAGCGGUACAUAUGUAGCACAUCUGUAUAUAUUUAUCUAAUCUGUAUAUUUGUUCAUAGUACAUCUGUAUAUCUGCCCGUCUGUAUAGCAAUAUAGAACAUCUGUAUGCUACACAGAUCAUCUGUAUAUCUGUACAUAUGUGUACACAGUACAUCUGUACAUUUGUCUGUAGUUCAUCUGUAUACUUCGUCUCUCCGUACAUAAUCUGUUCAUAACCAUUCCACCCUUUAUAGUACCCUUACCUGUAUAUAUCAGUAUAUCCGUACAUUUGCCUGUAGUACAUGUGUAUAUUUGCUCUCUACAUCUGUAUAUUUGCUUAACUUAUCUGUAUGUAAUCUGCUCUUAUUGCACUUACUACUCUUGCACUUCUUAUUAGAAGCAAACUGUAUUUCGUUACCCUGUAUUCAUAGCUGUGUAAUGACAAUAAAGUUGAAUCCAGUCCUAAUCCUAAUCACUGUGCAAUAUGUAACAUGUGCAAUAACCCACACUGUAUAUAUAAAAUCCAUAUUUAUUCUUGAAUAUGCACUUAGCACCGGAGAACUGUGCACUUUUACUUUUCUUUUUUUUUUUUACAUGUUUCCACUGGGCAGGAGUUUCUUUCAGUCUCAUUGUACAUAGAUCUAUUCUAUUCUAUUCUAUUCUAUUCUAUUCUAUUCUAUUAUCAACAUAGCACUUGUAGCUAGUGGGACAUGAUGAUUUGCUUCUGUCUGCUUACUGUCUGGGGUGGAAGAUGAAAAAGAGUUAUAAAAAGUGGGCCAACAUUUCUCCACAAUUAUGUGAGAGACAAGUCAUACAGAAAGAAAAUAUUUAAAGUUAUUGUUGCUAAAGACAGUUUUUGUUUUUUACAGUACUGCAGUGCCCUGUGAAAUGUUUCUUUUUCACAUAACUGAAUGCAAAGGCAGUUCAUUAAAAAAAAGUAUCCUUGUCUAAUAGCAAAUGGGUAUUUUUAUGAAGUAUUUUAUUGAGAUUGAAAUUUCCUUUACACGUGAAAUUCAACAACGAAAGCAUAAACAAAGUAUCAGUAAAAAGAUAGUUACAAGAUGCUGUACUGAAUCUCCAUAGACAAGGAAGGACAAUAAGGUGCACUGACCAGUAGUUAUACAGGUGAGGAGGGCAUCUCACCUGUUUAACUUCUCUCACGGAGAGCUACUUAAAAAAUUAUAUAGAUAAAAGGAGAAAAUUUCAAAAGUCCAUCAUCUCAAAGAUGGACUUGUGUGAAGAUUUGCUGGUUUUCUGCUAUUAUUUUCAGAUUUUCAUUCUUUUGGUCAGUGAUCAUUUAAAAAAAGUUUUUUAUAUGUGUAAUAAUAUCUAGAUAAAUUAUUUACAGGUUCAACAAAUCCAAUGUGUAGAGAAAUUAUCAUAAGUACGACGUUUUUGGUGAUUCCCUUGAGAGGUUGUAAUUGUGGAUUUUAUUGCAUCAGGAUUAUUUUAUUUGUGAGUCUGUAUUUAUUCAGAAAAAUCAUGCAAAAUUAAAAUACGUUCAAAUUCUAUUUAAUAUAUAUAUUACUUACACUAGAGCGCUAGAGAUAGACAGAGAGAACAGUAAAGCAGAUAUUCUUUAUGCAUUGCAUCAAAAACAAUAGCAGAAGACAGUCAUUGAGAGAGCAGAGAAACAGACAUGCUCAGUUGAGGAUAACUCGUGCUCUAGCGUGGCACAGCACACAGACGAUAA